UUGAUGAGUCUGGCCAUUAAAAAUCGGCGAUGCUUCCUUCUGCUACAUACAUUUGAAAAGAACUAUUAAACUCUUUUUACCCAUUUUCAAUGUGUCCAGAGUAUGAAAAGAGAUGGACUGCCAGAGAGAAAGAAUGAGAAGUAUUGUAUAUUACAAUUUUAUGGAGAGUUUUGUGUCAAAGCAAAAUUAAAAUAGAAGCCAACAUAAUUACCAAAUCUAUUUUCUGCCAGAGUUUGUUCAUGAGAACAUAUGGGAUUUUAUAUGUGAAUUUCAGAAACACAAAAACAACGGACUCAAAUCCUUAAAGCUUUUUGUGGAAUACAUUUGAUAAAAUAUAUUUCUUUUAUCAAGUGGAUCACAAUUGUUGAACAGUUUGUAGGGCUCCCAGCUUCUGGUGUAUUAAGCCUGAUACGAUUAUUGCGAGCUGAGGCAAGGGAAUACUUGGAAAAGCCUAUCACACGCAAGUUAGUGUACUUAUAACUUUUUGAUCUUCUGGCUGAGCAAUUCGGGUUCUCCAUUCAAUCCCCCAAUCCCCAAAUAACCGCACACAUGGUUCACAUAAUAAAAAUAUCGGCACUCAUAAAAUGGAAAUGCAAAGGCAUUCAUCACAUUUGCGCCAAAGUUUAGAAAUAUUAAACCGCUUAUGCGAGCCAGGCAGCUGCUGCCUGCGCAUUAAUUUCGACCUGGUGCAAACAUCUACGGCAUAAAUUACGCAUACGUCAUGUAAGCCGUGUGAGAAUAAACAACUUUACACCUGA